rnacentral:rRNA from 1 species
GCAUACGACCAGAUCACCCUGAAUGCGCCCGAUAUCAUCUGAUCUCGGAAGCUAAGCACGGUCGAGUCAGGUUAGUACUUGCAUGGG